rnacentral:rRNA from 2 species
UUUUUAUGGAGAGUUUGAUCCUGGCUCAGGAUGAACGCUGGCGGCGUGCCUAAUACAUGCAAGUCGAGCGAACGGAU